ACAGGCUUAACACAUGCAAGUCGAGGGGUAGCAGGGUAGCAAUACCGCUGACGACCGGCGCACGGGUGAGUAACACGUAUCCAACCUUCCCAUGACUCAGGGAUAGCCUUUCGAAAGAAAGAUUAAUACCUGAUAGUACUUUUUUAAGGCAUCUUGAAAAAGUUAAAGAUUUAUCGGUUAUGGACGGGGAUGCGUUCCAUUAGAUAGUUGGUGAGGUAACGGCUCACCAAGUCUUCGAUGGAUAGGGGUUCUGAGAGGAAGGUCCCCCACAUUGGUACUGAGACACGGACCAAACUCCUACGGGAGGCAGCAGUGAGGAAUAUUGGUCAGUGGGCGAGAGCCUGAACCAGCCAAGUAGCGUGAAGGAUGACGG
rnacentral:rRNA from 1 species